rnacentral:rRNA from 1 species
UAAGGAAUAUUGGUCAAUGGACGCAAGUCUGAACCAGCCAUGCCGCGUGGAGGAUUAAGGCCCUCUGGGUUGUAAACUCCUUUUAUCUGGGAAGAAAUGUACUUUUUCUUGAGUACUUGACGGUACCAGAGGAAUAAGCACCGGCUAACUCCGUGCCAGCAGCCGCGGUAAUACGGAGGGUGCAAGCGUUAUCCGGAUUCACUGGGUUUAAAGGGUGCGUAGGUGGGCAGAUAAGUCAGUGGUGAAAUCUUCCGGCUUAACCGGGAAACUGCCGUUGAUACUAUUUGUCUUGAAUAUUGCGGAGGUAAGCGGAAUAUGUCAUGUAGCGGUGAAAUGCUUAGAUAUGACAUAGAACACCAAUUGCGAAGGCAGCUUACUACACAAUCAUUGACACUGAGGCACGAAAGCGUGGGUAGCGAACA